rnacentral:rRNA from 1 species
AUUGAACGCUGGCGGCAGGCCUAACACAUGCAAGUCGAACGGUAGCAGGAAGAAGCUUGCUUCUUUGCUGACGAUUGGCGGACGGGUGAGUAAUGUCUGGGAAACUGCCUGAUGGAGGGGGAUAACUACUGGAAACGGUAGCUAAUACCGCAUAACGUCGCAAGACCAAAGAGGGGGACCUUCGGGCCUCUUGCCAUCGGAUGUGCCCAGAUGGGAUUAGCUAGUAGGUGGGGUAACGGCUCAACUAGGCGACGAUCCCUAGCUGUUCUGUGAGGAUGACCAGACACACAGGAAGUGAGACACGGGCCAGACACCUACGGAAGGCAGCAGUGGAGAAAAUUGCACAAUGGGCGCAAGCAUGAUGCAGCCAUGCCGCGAGUAUGAAGAAGGCCUGCGGGUUGUAAAGUACUUUCAGCGGGGAGGAAGGGAGUAAAGUUAAUACCUCUGCUCAUUGACGUUACACGCAGAAGAAGCACCGGCUAACUCCGU